ACGGCUAGUAGGAAGGGCGCAGGUGCACACCCACUUCUGCAAAUGAGAUCUGCCUCCCUCCCUCCCGCUGGAAAACCUGCGAGAAGCCGUCCCUCUCUUUCUAUUGCUCAGGACUUGCAGGGAAGAGAAGAAAGAGGAUGAGAGAGUGAAAGAAUGAAGGAGAAAAGAAGAAGAAAAGAGCAGCGAGUUUAACCUCGUUCUUACUGGAGAAAACUUAAAAAAUUUGGAGCAUCCUACCAACACUCCCUGCCUUCAGCUUACUGAUGAGGAAGGAAGGAUGGAAGAGGAACUCUGCACUCCCAUCUUUUCAUUUCCUUCCUUGCUGGCAUUUUCAGCUUAAAUGAAUGAAACACAGGAAGUAGAAUGGAGGCUGCAGGUCAUCCAAGUGGCCCAGGACAGAGGUGUUUGCCAGGCUCUUGUUGAAGACUGGGCUGGCUGUGCUCCCCAGGCCUGCCUUUUAUCUGCAACCAUACAUCCACCAUCCCUUUCCUGAGCACCUGCUACAUACCUGGAAAAUGACACAGUUGCAUGACUCUGGACCAGUGCCUGUGACCUCUUCUGCAGAAGAGUAAGAGCUGCACCAGCCUCAAACAUCAGAGGCCAUGAAGGACCUUCUGCUAGAUGCUGACACCAGGCUGGACACACAGCAAGUUCCACAUAAAUGUCUUCAGCAAUGGUGAAAUAACAAAAGAGUUUUCACUACAAUGCUGUCACCUCCAUGUUGUUUAGAAAUAUCAGCCUUUGAUGCAAUGGGAAAAGAGAAGGAAAUAUGUGAC